rnacentral:miRNA from 1 species
ACACAUUCCAGCCAAUCAGCAGCAGACCCUCCCUCCCAGACCCUCCCACCUCAUGAACAGCUCACUAAGAAUGCAGCUUCAAAAUGGAUGCUGUCCAGGAGGUGGGAGGGUCUGGGAGGGAGGGUCUGCUGCUGAUUGGAUGGAUUGU